rnacentral:rRNA from 1 species
AUACGAAGGGUGCUAGCGUUGUUCGGAAUUACUGGGCGUAAAGAGCAUGUAGGCGGAUAGAUUAGUCAGAGGUGAAAGCCCCGAGCUCAACUCGGGAACUGCCUUUGAUACUGUUUAUCUAGAGACCGAGAGAGGUGAGUGGAAUUCUCAGUGUAGAGGUGAAAUUCGUAGAUAUUGGGAAGAACACCAGUGGCGAAGGCGGCUCACUGGCUCGGAACUGACGCUGAGAUGCGAAAGCGUGGGGAGCGAACAGGAUUAGAAACCCCAGUAGUCC